GUAGGGAAUAUUGGGCAAUGGUCGGAAGACUGACCCAGCCAUGCCGCGUGCAGGAAGACGGCCCUCUGGGUUGUAAACUGCUUUUAUCUGGGAAGAAAAAGGCCAUGCGUGGCAAAUUGCCGGUACCAGAUGAAUAAGCACCGGCUAACUCCGUGCCAGCAGCCGCGGUAAUACGGAGGGUGCGAGCGUUGUCCGGAUUUAUUGGGUUUAGAGGGUGCGUAGGCGGCUGAUUAAGUCAGCGGUGAAAGACUUCGGCUUAACCGGAGCAGUGCCGUUGAUACUGGUUGGCUUGAGUGUCGGAGGGGUACAUGGAAUUGAUGGUGUAGCGGUGAAAUGCAUAGAUACCAUCAGGAACACCGAUAGCGAAGGCAUUGUACUGGCCGACAACUGACGCUGAUGCACGAAAGUGUGGGGAUCGAACAGGAUUAGAUACCCUAGUAGUCC
rnacentral:rRNA from 1 species